AUUGAACGCUGGCGGCAGGCUUAACACAUGCAAGUCGAGCGAGCGGCGGACGGGUGAGUAAUGUCUGGGAAACUGCCUGAUGGAGGGGGAUAACUACUGGAAACGGUAGCUAAUCCCGCAUACCAUCAGAUGUGCCCAGAUGGGCUGAGCUAGUGGGUGGGGUAAUGGCUCACCUAGGCGACGAUCCCUAGCUGGUCUGAGAGGAUGACAAGCCCCACUGGAACGGAGACACGCUCCAGACGCCUACGGGAGGCAGCAGUGGGGAAGAUUGCACAAUGGGCGCAAGCCUUAUGCAGCCAUGCCGCGUGUGUGAAGAAGGCCUUGGGGUUGUAAAGCACUUUCAGCGAGGAGGCGGUACUCGCAGAAGAAGCACCGGCUAACUCCGUGCCAGCAGCCGCGGUAAUAC
rnacentral:rRNA from 1 species